rnacentral:lncRNA from 1 species
GUGCGUGGUUGCGUUUAACCCAGAUACCUUGCGGCCGCUGUGCCUCACCAACGUCUGUGGGCGUGGAACAGGCCCUGGGUUCUCCUACUGGGAAAAAUGAAGUUCAGGUACUCUAUGCUAUAUGUGGUUCCACAAUCCUCAGCAUGUUAACUGAAGCCUUGUUGAGUUUAACAAAGGUGCCGUUGAAGAUCUGGGGAAAGUGAAAAAGGUGCGACAGACUUUUGGGCUCACACCAUUGAUACAUUUGAUUCUUAAGGCAAGUGACAAUUUGGGUUUCACAGGUAUAUAGAAAUUGCCAGCUUUUCUUGCCAUAUAUUCCUUGUGACAGUGCUGAGCUUUUUUUUUUUCUUAUUGCUUGCUUUUUCUUGGACUUGAUUUUUUAAAUUAUGUUUCCUUUCUUCCUUCCUUCUUUCCUUCCUUCCUUCUUUCUUUGGUGUUUUUUUUUUUGUUUUUUUUGUUUUUUUGUUUUUUUGUUUUUUUGAGACAGGAUCUUGUUCUAUUGUCCUGGCACAGUCACGGCUCACUGCAGCCUUGACCUCCUGGGCUCCAGCAAUCCUCCUACCUCAGCCUCCCUAGUACCUGAGGUUG